UUGAAACACCGGUUCUCGUUCGAUCAGCGAAGUUAAGCAACGUCGAAACAGGCCAGUGCCUAAAUGGGUGGUCGCUUGGGAAUAUCAGGUGGUGUAAG